GAUGAACGCUGGCGGCGUGCCUAAUACAUGCAAGUCGAGCGAACAGACGAGGAGCUUGUUCCUUUGACGUUAGCGGCGGACGGGUGAGUAACACGUGGAUAACCUACCUAUAAGACUGGUAUAAGUUCGGGAAACCGGCUCUAAUACCGGAUAAUCUAUUGAACCGUAUGGUUCAAUAGUGAAAGACGGUGUUGCUGUCACUUCUAGCUGGAUCCCCGCCUCAUGAGGUAGUUGGUAAGGUAACGGCUUACCAAGGCAACGAUGCGUAGCCGACCUGAGAGGGUGAUCGGCGACACUGGAGCUGAACCACGGACCAGACUCCUGCGAGAGGCAGCAGUCGGGAAUCUGCCGCAGUGGGCGAGAGCCUGACAGAGCAACGCCACGUGAGUGAUGAAAGUGUUCGGAGCGUAAAAACCUGUUAUUAGGGGAGAACAAAUGUGUAAGUAACUAUGCACGUCUUGACGGUACCUGAUCAGAAAGCCACGGCUAACUACGUG
rnacentral:rRNA from 1 species